GACGAACGCUGGCGGCGUGCCUAAUACAUGCAAGUAGAACGCUGAAGGAAGGAGCUUGCUCUUUCUGGAUGAGUUGCGAACGGGUGAGUAACGCGUAGGUAACCUGCCUGGUAGCGGGGGAUAACUAUUGGAAACGAUAGCUAAUACCGCAUAACAUUGAUUAUUGCAUGAUAGUCAAUUAAAAGGUGCAACUGCACCACUACCAGAUGGACCUGCGUUGUAUUAGCUAGUUGGUGAGGUAACGGCUCACCAAGGCGACGAUACAUAGCCGACCUGAGAGGGUGAUCGGCCACACUGGGACUGAGACACGGCCCAGACUCCUACGGGAGGCAGCAGUAGGGAAUCUUCGGCAAUGGACGGAAGUCUGACCGAGCAACGCCGCGUGAGUGAAGAAGGUUUUCGGAUCGUGAAGCUCUGUUGUAAGAGAAGAACGAGUGUGAGAGUGGAAAGUUCACACUGUGACGGUAGCUUACCAGAAAGGGACGGCUAACUACGUG
rnacentral:rRNA from 1 species